ACACUCCUGCGGGAGGCAGCAGUGGGGAAUUUUGGACAAUGGGCGAAAGCCUGAACCAGCAAUGCCGCGUGAGUGAAGAAGGCCUUCGGGUUGUAAAGCUCUUUUGUCAGGGAAGAAACGGUGAGAGCUAAUAUCUUUUGCUAAUGACGGUACCUGAAGAAUAAGCACCGGCUAACUACGUGCCAGCAGCCGCGGUAAUACGUAGGGUGCAAGCGUUAAUCGGAAUUACUGGGCGUAAAGCGUGCGCAGGCGGUUUUGUAAGUCUGAUGUGAAAUCCCCGGGCUCAACCUGGGAAUUGCAUUGGAGACUGCAAGGCUAGAAUCUGGCAGAGGGGGGUAGAAUUCCACGUGUAGCAGUGAAAUGCGUAGAUAUGUGGAGGAACACCGAUGGCGAAGGCAGCCCCCUGGGUCAAGAUUGACGCUCAUGCACGAAAGCGUGGGGAGCAAACAGGAUUAGAUACCCCGGUAGUCC
rnacentral:rRNA from 1 species